CUCGGCAUUCGCCCUCCCCGACGGUGGACGGUCCGCCAAGGCUGCCAGUGACGUGUAGGCUGCUGCCCCCGCGACACGACCUCGGAUAAGCGGGAGAAGAUGGAUGGAUGGACGAUGACUUUUCCCAUGUGGGCGGCACCAGCCUCCCUCCAAUUAAGGCACGUAUGCGAGCGUGCGUCGCUAAAGAUGUGGUCCUGCGGUCAUAAAUCAACACCACCUGGCCUUCAAAGGCAACUCGGAGGAACGUAAACAUCGCCUCCACACUAGCAAGAGUCUACUGGCCAGACACCAUCACCAAUGCCAACCUGUGGGAACUCACCACACCAGAACCAGUGGAACUGCCAAUCAGGAAAAGGAAGUGGAGCUGGAUAGGCCACACACUCAGAAAACCCAAUAAAUCAAGCACCAAACAGGCACUAACAUGGGGAAAAAGAAACAGAGGGAGACCAAGAACAACCUGGAGAAGAAGCACGGAACAGGAGAUGAGAGCUGAGGGGCUGUCAUGGCAACCACUCCACCGAAGGGCACGAGACCGGAAUGGAUGGAAGGCUUUCGUCGGCGGCCUAUGUUCCUCAGAGAAUACUAAGGCCUAAGUAAGUAAGUAAGUACACUUUAAUCACCUCAAAUAAUGAAACAAAAUAUUAUAUCAUUAUACAUACAGUUAUUGUUCAAAUAAAGAUACAAACUGAAAUAUCUGCUUGACUUAUGAUUUCAAAGCAAGUUAUCCAACAAACUGUUCAUGUAAAA